UACAGAGGGUGCGAGCGUUAAUCGGAAUUACUGGGCGUAAAGGGCGCGUAGGCGGUUAGAUAAGUUAGAUGUGAAAUCCCCGGGCUUAACCUGGGAACGGCAUUUAAUACUGUCUGGCUAGAGUAGAAUAGAGGGAAGUGGAAUUUCCAGUGUAGAGGUGAAAUUCGUAGAUAUUGGGAAGAACACCGGUGGCGAAGGCGGCGACCUGGUCCUUGACUGACGCUGAGACGCGAAAGCGUGGGGAGCGAACCGG
rnacentral:rRNA from 1 species